UACGGAGGGUGCAAGCGUUGUCCGGAAUUAUUGGGCGUAAAGAGCUCGUAGGCGGUCUGUCGCGUCGGUCGUGAAAACUUGGGGCUUAACCCUGAGCUUGCGGUCGAUACGGGCAUGACUGGAGUUCGGUAGGGGAGACUGGAAUUCCUGGUGUAGCGGUGAAAUGCGCAGAUAUCUGGAGGAAUACCGGUGGCGAAGGCGGCAUCCUGGACCGACAUUGACGCUGAACGGCGAAAGCUAGGGGAGCAAACGGG
rnacentral:rRNA from 1 species